GACGAACGCUGGCGGCGUGCCUAAUACAUGCAAGUAGAACGCUGAAGGAGGAGCUUGCUUCUCUGGAUGAGUUGCGAACGGGUGAGUAACGCGUAGGUAACCUGCCUGGUAGCGGGGGAUAACUAUUGGAAACGAUAGCUAAUACCGCAUAACAGUAGAUAUCGCAUGAUAGCUGCUUAAAAGGUGCAAUUGCACCACUACCAGAUGGACCUGCGUUGUAUUAGCUAGUUGGUGAGGUAACGGCUCACCAAGGCAACGAUACAUAGCCGACCUGAGAGGGUGAUCGGCCACACUGGGACUGAGACACGGCCCAGACUCCUACGGGAGGCAGCAGUAGGGAAUCUUCGGCAAUGGACGGAAGUCUGACCGAGCAACGCCGCGUGAGUGAAGAAGGUUUUCGGAUCGUAAAGCUCUGUUGUAAGAGAAGAACGAGUGUGAGAGUGGAAAGUUCACACUGUGACGGUAUCUUACCAGAAAGGGACGGCUAACUACGUGCCAGCAGCCGCGGUAAUACGUAGGUCCCGAGCGUUGUCCGGAUUUAUUGGGCGUAAAGCGAGCGCAGGCGGUUAGAUAAGUCUGAAGUUAAAGGCUGUGGCUUAACCAUAGUACGCUUUGGAAACUGUUUAACUUGAGUGCAAGAGGGGAGAGUGGAAUUCCAUGUGUAGCGGUGAAAUGCGUAGAUAUAUGGAGGAACACCGGUGGCGAAAGCGGCUCUCUGGCUUGUAACUGACGCUGAGGCUCGAAAGCGUGGGGAGCAAACAGG
rnacentral:rRNA from 1 species